CCCCCAGGCUGCCACUUCCUCCCCUGGAGGCGGAAAGUUUGCUCCCGGGAGCCGCGAAGGCGCGGCGCGCAGGUGCCCAGAGACCCCACCCUACCCAUGGUGAGGCAGUGGAAUCUCCGCGGGUCCCCUACGUUGUAGGUGGUGGCGGCGCAGACAGGUGAGGGUUGAGAAAUCAGGGAGAAAUCCUACCCCGCUUAUCCUGGAGCCUGAAGAGAAUGACUGAACCUGAGCCUCCUUCAGCAGUUGGUGGUUGGAAAGCGUGUAUGGAGUGCCUCCUCUCUGCUGGGCUCUGGGCGUAAGGGGAAUUCCGUUGCACAAGGCAGGUUUCCUCACUCACCCUCUGGAUCGUCUUUCUGACUAUUUACCCAACGAGUAUUGAUGGAGUGCCUGCAGUAUAUACCGGGCUCUGCGCUGGGAAAACCCGAAGAAC